UCCUAGUCGGAUUCGUUUCCACUGCGCCACAAUGGGAACUUCCAGAGUGUUUCGAUGAAGCUUACAUGCAUCUUGCUUCAGAUAUUUUUUCAAAAAGGAGAGAUUUUUUGACUUUAUCAAUAUUUUCAGACCUGAGCCCUCCUUUUUCUUCUAGUUCCUCAUGUGAGGGACCAGCAAGAAUUGAUUUUUGUUUGCAGCCAGUAUGUCAGAGGCAGGAAUGUGAACCUGAUGCUUGUGGAAUUUAUGGAAGAGAAAUGCCAAUGCACUUUCUGUUACAUUGCUUGGCUACUGAUCAAAGGGAGGUCAAGACAGUGUAUACCACUCACUGAGAAAGCUUCCUUGAAUAUGUACCAAAGCUAAGAUUGACUAAGAACUGGAAUCAAACAGCCACAUUUAUCAAGAGGUCCCUGGUUAUGAAUAUGUUUGAGAGCUUCUGUGGGCUAUAAAACAAGCCUGGGCUGGCCUGAUCAUAGGGUGCCAUGCACUGUAAUGAGAGAAAGAACAAACACAGAUAAACAAAACUGACCCAGCCCAGGCCCUCAAGGAGAUUACGUCAUUCAGAGAAGAAUGAUACGGAUGGAAUUAGGAUGAAGUAUAAUAAAUGCCAUGAAGGAAGCAAUAUGGAAUAUCAUGAAAGUACCCACCUCUGGCUGUAAUGACCUUUUGGCAAUCAGAAAAGCUUCCCCCUUGCAAGGAAAACUUUAACCAGGAGACUGAAACAAACUAACAAAAAUAAACAAACGGAACCUCCAAACUCCCUUGGUUGACUGUUUCCAUAUCAAAUCAGUCCACCUGCCAUCAAACUUUGAACAAGCCAUCACAGUUGUAAACAGAACAUAAUUAUUGGCGGUGACUGGAUCCAGGGCCCUAAAUUCAUGGAAAUUACUUAGGUCAUUAUUCCAUCAUGGAAGCAUUUCCAUAUGCAUCACUAUUAAUGCGAAAGACACCUUUCUUCUUUGAAAGCAAUAAUUAACGUUUUUAAAAGUUCUCUUGGAAGUGCUUAUCUCUGUUCAAUAAAACACUAAAGUUAUAGUGCUUA